GGAAGCGUGGCAGAGUCCGGCUUAUUGCAACUGACUUGAAAUCAGUCGACGGUGGCAAUCCCAUCGUCCGUGGGUUCAAAUCCUACCGCUUCCG
rnacentral:tRNA from 2 species